rnacentral:rRNA from 1 species
UACGGGGGGAGCAAGCGUUGUUCGGAUUUACUGGGCGUAAAGGGCGCGUAGGCGGUCGUGACAAGUCACUUGUGAAAUCUCCGGGCUUAACUCGGAACGGUCAAGUGAUACUGUCGGACUAGAGUACAGAAGGGGCAACUGGAAUUCUCGGUGUAGCGGUGAAAUGCGUAGAUAUCGAGAGGAACACCUGCGGCGAAGGCGACUACCUGGCCUGUUCUUGACGCUGAGGCGCGAAAGCUAGGGGAGCAAACGGGAUUAGAACUACCGGAGUCAGU